AUUGAACGCUGGCGGCAGGCCUAACACAUGCAAGUCGAGCGGAUGAAGGGAGCUUGCUCCUGGAUUCAGCGGCGGACGGGUGAGUAAUGCCUAGGAAUCUGCCUGGUAGUGGGUGAUAACGUCCGGAAACGGGCGCUAAUACCGCAUACGUCCUGAGGGAGAAAGUGGGUGAUCUUCGGACCUCACGCUAUCAUAUGAGCCUAGGUCGGAUUAGCUAGUUGGUGGGGUGAAGGCCUACCAAGGCGACGAUCCGUAACUGGUCUGAGAGGAUGAUCAGUCACACUGGAACUGAGACACGGUCCAGACUCCUACGGGAGGCAGCAGUGGGGAAUAUUGGACAAUGGGCGAAAGCCUGAUCCAGCCAUGCCGCGUGUGUGAAGAAGGUCUUCGGAUUGUAAAGCACUUUAAGUUGGGAGGAAGGGCAGUAAGUUAAUACCUUGCUGUUUUGACGUUACCAACAGAAUAAGCACCGGCUAACUUCGUG
rnacentral:rRNA from 1 species